GGUUCGAUCCUGGCUCAGGACGAACGCUGGCGGCGUGCCUAAUACAUGCAAGUCGAACGCUUCACUUCGGUGAAGAGUGGCGAACGGGUGAGUAAUACAUAAGUAACCUGGCAUCUACAGGGGGAUAACUGAUGGAAACGUCAGCUAAGACCGCAUAGGUGUAGAGAUCGCAUGAACUCUAUAUGAAAAGUGCUACGGGACUGGUAGAUGAUGGACUUAUGGCGCAUUAGCUUGUUGGUAGGGUAACGGCCUACCAAGGCGACGAUGCGUAGCCGACCUGAGAGGGUGACCGGCCACACUGGGACUGAGACACGGCCCAGACUCCUACGGGAGGCAGCAGUAGGGAAUUUUCGGCAAUGGGGGAAACCCUGACCGAGCAACGCCGCGUGAAGGAAGAAGUAAUUCGUUAUGUAAACUUCUGUCAUAGAGGAAGAACGGUGGAUAUAGGGAAUGAUAUCCAAGUGACGGUACUCUAUAAGAAAGCCACGGCUAACUACGUGCCAGCAGCCGCGGUAAUACGUAGGUGGCGAGCGUUAUCCGGAAUUAUUGGGCGUAAAGAGGGAGCAGGCGGCACUAAGGGUCUGUGGUGAAAGAUCGAAGCUUAACUUCGGUAAGCCAUGGAAACCGUAGAGCUAGAGUGUGUGAGAGGAUCGUGGAAUUCCAUGUGUAGCGGUGAAAUGCGUAGAUAUAUGGAGGAACACCAGUGGCGAAGGCGACGAUCUGGCGCAUAACUGACGCUCAGUCCCGAAAGCGUGGGGAGCAAAUAGGAUUAGAUACCCUAGUAGUCCACGCCGUAAACGAUGAGUACUAAGUGUUGGGUGUCAAAGCUCAGUGCUGCAGUUAACGCAAUAAGUACUCCGCCUGAGUAGUACGUUCGCAAGAAUGAAACUCAAAGGAAUUGACGGGGGCCCGCACAAGCGGUGGAGCAUGUGGUUUAAUUCGAAGCAACGCGAAGACCUUACCAGGUCUUGACAUCGAUCUAAAGGCUCCAGAGAUGGAGAGAUAGCUAUAGAGAAGACAGGUGGUGCAUGGUUGUCGUCAGCUCGUGUCGUGAGAUGUUGGGUUAAGUCCCGCAACGAGCGCAACCCCUGUUGCCAGUUGCCAGCAUUAAGUUGGGGACUCUGGCGAGACUGCCGGUGACAAGCCGGAGGAAGGCGGGGAUGACGUCAAAUCAUCAUGCCCCUUAUGACCUGGGCUACACACGUGCUACAAUGGACAGAGCAGAGGGAAGCGAAGCCGCGAGGUGGAGCGAAACCCAUAAAACUGUUCUCAGUUCGGACUGCAGUCUGCAACUCGACUGCACGAAGAUGGAAUCGCUAGUAAUCGCGAAUCAGCAUGUCGCGGUGAAUACGUUCUCGGGCCUUGUACACACCGCCCGUCACACCAUGAGAGUCGGUAACACCCGAAGCCGGUGGCCUAACCGCAAGGAAGGAGCUGUCUAAGGUGGGACUGAUGAUUGGGGUGAAGUCGUAACAAGGUAACC
rnacentral:rRNA from 1 species